GACGAACGCUGGCGGCGUGCUUAACACAUGCAAGUCGAACGGAAAGGCCCUGCUUUUGUGGGGUUCUCGAGUGGCGAACGGGUGAGUAACACGUGAGUAACCUGCCCUUGACUUUGGUAUAACUUCAGGAAACUGGGGCUAAUACCGGAUAGGAGCUCCUGCUGCAUGGUGGGGGUUGGAAAGUUUCGGCGGUUGGGGAUGGACUCGCGGCUUAUCAGCUUGUUGGUGGGGUAGUGGCUUACCAAGGCUUUGACGGGUAGCCGGCCUGAGAGGGUGACCGGCCACAUUGGGACUGAGAUACGGCCCAGACUACUACGGGAGGCAGCAGUGGGGAAUAUUGCACAAUGGGAGGAAGCCUGAUGCAGCAACGCCGCGUGCGGGAUGACGGCCUUCGGGUUGUAAACAGCAUUCGCCUGUGACGAAGCGUGAGUGACGGUAAUGGAUAAAGAAGCACCGGCUAACUACGUG
rnacentral:rRNA from 1 species